rnacentral:lncRNA from 1 species
AUUUUGUUUGGGUAUGAAUUUAUUUUAUUAAUUGUGGUUAAUUAAUUUAAUUUUAGUAAUCUUGGUUAGUUAAUUUAAUUUUAGUAAUAUUAUUUAAUUAAAUUAAUUUUAUUAUUUGUAGUUAAUUAAUUUAGUUAAUUUAAUUUAUUAAUUGUGAGUAGUUAAUUGAUUUAUAAUAUUAGUGUUGAUUUAAUUAAGGAACCUUGAUAAUAACAUAUUAAUAGAAUUGAAGUGUGGAUUAAGGUAGUUUAGAUAUAAUGUUAUUGUAAAUUAUAAUUUUGAUUGUGUGGUGAUGUUGAGAUUGAAGGAGGAUGGGAAAUUUGAUUUGAUUGAUUGCCCGAUGAAUGGGCUGUGUGGUUUGAUAAAUUGUUGAUAUUUUAACAGGUGGAUAGUCC